rnacentral:rRNA from 1 species
AUUGAACGCUGGCGGCAUGCCUUACACAUGCAAGUCGAACGGUAACAGGUCUUCGGAUGCUGACGAGUGGCGAACGGGUGAGUAAUACAUCGGAACGUGCCUAGUAGUGGGGGAUAACUACUCGAAAGAGUGGCUAAUACCGCAUGAGAUCUACGGAUGAAAGCAGGGGAUCGCAAGACCUUGUGCUACUAGAGCGGCCGAUGGCAGAUUAGGUAGUUGGUGGGAUAAAAGCUUACCAAGCCGACGAUCUGUAGCUGGUCUGAGAGGACGAUCAGCCACACUGGGACUGAGACACGGCCCAGACUCCGACGGGAGGCAGCAGUGGGGAAUUUUGGACAAUGGGCGCAAGCCUGAUCCAGCAAUGCCGCGUGCAGGAUGAAGGCCUUCGGGUUGUAAACUGCUUUUGUACGGAACGAAAAGGCGCCUACUAAUACUGGGUGUUGAUGACGGUACCGUAAGAAUAAGCACCGGCUAACUACGUGCCAGCAGCCGCCGUAACAC